CCAAUAGCGUAUAUUAAAGUUGUUGCAGUUAAAAAGCUCGUAGUUGAAUUUCGGAAUCAAUAUAUCGGUCGUGCCUCUGGUACGCACUUAUUUAUUGAUUUCUCACUUCUGACGAAUCAUAAUGUCAUUAGUUUGGUGUUAUGAGGAAUCAGGACUGUUACUUUGAAAAAAUUAGAGUGUUUAAAGCAGGCUCGCGCUUGAAUACAUUAGCAUGGAAUAAUGAAAUAGGAUGUUUGAUCUUAUUUUGUUGGUUUCUAGGAUUGACAUAAUGAUUAAUAGGGAUAGUUGGGGGCAUUAGUAUUCAAUUGUCAGGGGUGAAAUUCUUGGAUUUAUUGAAGACUAACUACUGCGAAAGCAUUUGCCAAGGAUGUUUUCAUUAAUCAAGAACGAAAGUUAGAGGUUCGAAGGCGAUCAGAUACCGCCCUAGUUCUAACCAUAAACGAUGCCAACCGGCGAUCCGUCGUCGUUAAUUGAAUGACUCGACGGGCAGCCUCCG
rnacentral:misc_RNA from 1 species